rnacentral:rRNA from 1 species
UACAGAGGGUGCGAGCGUUGUCCGGAAUCACUGGGCGUAAAGGGCGCGUAGGUGGUGGCUUAAGCGUGCGGUGAAAGCUCGGGGCUCAACCCCGAGUCGGCCGUGCGAACUGGGCUCACUGGAGCAUAGUAGAGGCAGGUGGAAUUCCGGGUGUAGCAGUGGAAUGCGUAGAGAUCCGGAAGAACACCGAUGGCGAAGGCAGGUCUCUGGGCAUUAACUGACGCUGAGGAGCGAAAGCAUGGGGAGCGAACAGG